rfam:Plasmodium falciparum Dd2 supercont1.1415 genomic scaffold, whole genome shotgun sequence.
CGUGGCGUUUUGACGCUGCAGUGCCCUUCCAGUAUAUAUAUGUUACAGCUGCAGAGACUGCGAGGGGCUUUUCUGAGAGUUAUUGACUUCUUCACAAUUUUAUUAUAAGGAUAACUACGGAAAAGCUGUAGCUAAUACUUGCUUUAUUAUCCUUUGAUUUUUAUCUUUGGAUAAGUAUUUGUUAGGCCUUAUAAGAAAAAAGUUAUUAACUUAAGGAAUUAUAACAAAGAAGUAACACGUAAUAAAUUUAUUUUAUUUAGUGUGUAUCAAUCGAGUUUCUGACCUAUCAGCUUUUGAUGUUAGGGUAUUGGCCUAACAUGGCUAUGACGGGUAACGGGGAAUUAGAGUUCGAUUCCGGAGAGGGAGCCUGAGAAAUAGCUACCACAUCUAAGGAAGGCAGCAGGCGCGUAAAUUACCCAAUUCUAAAGAAGAGAGGUAGUGACAAGAAAUAACAAUGCAAGGCCAAUUUUUGGUUUUGUAAUUGGAAUGGUGGGAAUUUAAAACCUUCCCAGAGUAACAAUUGGAGGGCAAGUCUGGUGCCAGCAGCCGCGGUAAUUCCAGCUCCAAUAGCGUAUAUUAAAAUUGUUGCAGUUAAAACGCUCGUAGUUGAAUUUCAAAGAAUCGAUAUUUUAUUGUAACUAUUCUAGGGGAACUAUUUUAGCUUUUCGCUUUAAUACGCUUCCUCUAUUAUUAUGUUCUUUAAAUAACAAAGAUUCUUUUUAAAAUCCCCACUUUUGCUUUUGCUUUUUGGGGAUUUUGUUACUUUGAGUAAAUUAGAGUGUUCAAAGCAAACAGUUAAAGCAUUUACUGUGUUUGAAUACUAUAGCAUGGAAUAACAAAAUUGAACAAGCUAAAAUUUUUUGUUCUUUUUUCUUAUUUUGGCUUAGUUACGAUUAAUAGGAGUAGCUUGGGGACAUUCGUAUUCAGAUGUCAGAGGUGAAAUUCUUAGAUUUUCUGGAGACGAACAACUGCGAAAGCAUUUGUCUAAAAUACUUCCAUUAAUCAAGAACGAAAGUUAAGGGAGUGAAGACGAUCAGAUACCGUCGUAAUCUUAACCAUAAACUAUGCCGACUAGGUGUUGGAUGAAAGUGUUAAAAAUAAAAGUCAUCUUUCGAGGUGACUUUUAGAUUGCUUCCUUCAGUACCUUAUGAGAAAUCAAAGUCUUUGGGUUCUGGGGCGAGUAUUCGCGCAAGCGAGAAAGUUAAAAGAAUUGACGGAAGGGCACCACCAGGCGUGGAGCUUGCGGCUUAAUUUGACUCAACACGGGGAAACUCACUAGUUUAAGACAGAGUAGGAUUGACAGAUUAAUAGCUCUUUCUUGAUUUCUUGGAUGUGAUGCAUGGCCGUUUUAGUUCGUGAA